GAGAUUAAACCCACAGCCUUGCUCAUGUUACACACUCUUCUCUGAGCUCCCCUCAGCCCUCUCUUGUUUUAUUUUUAUUUCUUAUUUUGACAUAGGAUCUUACUACGGUAGCCUGACGGGGUCUUAAACUCACUCUGUUGCUUAGGCUUUCAACCUGUAAUCCUCCUGCCUCAGCCUUGUGAGUGGCUGGGAUUGCAGGCUUCCUCGUGUUCCUUUCAAGCAGCAACGAGCACAUAUCAAAUCCCUUUCUAAGGCUGGAUUUCUGCUGUUAGUUCUUCUUGUGCUCGAAAUAGUUACAGGAUUGGUCUCUCCCAGCCCUUUCCUGAUAAGUAAGCUGUGGGAGUCACGUAGACAAAUACUUUGGAGUUUGGAGACCUGUUCAGUUUAUCCCAAGUGUGGAGUGUGCGCUUCCGGGCUUGUUAAUGAUUACUCUGAAUAGUGCUUCUUGAGAGCGUUGGCAGCCGAGUCUUUGUCUCUUUUCUCUGAUUGCAGCGAGAGCAGGUGGUACUCUCUGGCACGGUGAGAAGCAGCGCAUGCUUCUUUCCCGUUUCAGAUGGGCUCCACAACUCAGAGGAGAGCCCUCAUCGCUCGGUCCUCCCUCUGCGGAGCAGGCACCGGCCCAUCUUCCUCUCAGUGGAUAACAACCCUCUUUUCCUGUUGCUAGAAGACUGGGGACAUCUUUGGCUGGAAUAGACCACUGUGGGGAGAAGGCUCUUAGGAGAGUGGUCCAUGAGGAAGACCUAUCAUGAGAAGAAAGGAUCAAAUCAGGCUUCGUGGCAAGUACCUUGGCUCACCAAGGCAUGUUGGCUGUUCCUGUAGCAGAGACUCUAGAAGAAAAAGCACCUAUACAGUGCCACUGAAUGGAUAUUCUUGGAUGUGUGCACUUCAUAGUUAUGACAGAUAUUGCCAUGUAUGCCUGGCAGCACUUGCACUUGCUACCCUCUUGCCUCCUCCAUUUGAGUGCUGGAAAAACAGGCAGGAGCCCCCACAUCUGGCUGCUGUGCCCGGCUUGUUGAUGGAGGAGUGUUCUUAGUGAUCCUGUUGGGUUUGAAGCUGCCUGCUUCUCUGAGGAAAUCAAGUUACAAACUUGCUUCAUAGCUCUGCAUAGCACUUCGUUGUUUUUCUUUUUUAUCGCGGGUGGAAACAACCUUGAAAAUGGCAGAGUCACAAAGAGAAAAGCGCACCUGGGCCAUUAGACCUGGGGCAGCUUUGUGUCUCAGGCUUCUCAGGAUGGUUUCUGAAGUCUGAAAGAUCCGGAUUCUGGACUAGCACAGUUUAAAGCCAGACGUCGUGUGUUAGAGGAGACACAGCAUCACCAUCCGGACUUCAUCCUUCUUCAGAAGAAUUGAUACUUAAGACACGGUUUCUAAAUAAUGCUUGUAAUGUACGUUAUUUUAUUUUAUUCUAUUUUAUUUUUCGGCCAGGAGGAAUUCUACAAUUUUUAAUUUUAGAUUUCAAGCUGUUUUGUGGAAGCCAGUGUGUGCUUCUGUCCAGUUUGCGGACACCUCGGCUGGUGUUUGCAGCUCUCAGGAUCAUAUUCGCCACUCUUACUUUCUAAGUGAGGAAGCUAAAGCUGGAACAGAGCGGUGUGAACAGCAAAACUAUCGAUCAGGCCUGGCAUUGCGAACGCUAGUGAGCAUACUCUUACUCACUCUCUAGCAUCAGAUUAUUAGAGGGGAUCAAGACAGACAGGCGGCCAGAAGCCACCUUGUUAAAUACUAAAGCCUAGACUGCCAGCAGCCAAGAGCUCGUGAAACAUCUUCAAAGCCAGAAGUCCCACACGCAUUUUUGAAAGGUUGCCUGUGGUUUCCUGUAAACAACUGUAUGUUAAAUGGCUCCACAAAGGAAGGCCUUAUUAAGAAUAAACGAUUUGAAGAAGGAUGAUGUGGGCGGCGACAUAAUCACAAUUUUUCUAGAGGGCUUGAUUUGUCAAUGCGUUGGUUAAUUUUGCAACCACAUUCAACUGAAACUUCGUGUCUGGGCUUCCUACCACAGCAUAUCUUCCAUGAGGCUGCCUGAGAGUAGGCUGCCUGAGAGUAGGGAGAUACCCCAACCCAGCAGCAAGACCUGUGUUUGCAGCAUGACCUUAUUGGGUUGAGCCCUGAUGCUGCCCCCUCCACCCCCUCCCCUUGGGUGUAUGUGAGGAUUAAAACUAUUAUUCAUAUUUGAAUAUUAA
rnacentral:sRNA from 1 species